AUGCCAGGAGGAAACGCACAGACCCUCAGGUUGCUGACUUUCCUUUCUCCAAUCCCUUUCAGCUGCCUGGUCCUCCCCACCAUGAACAGCACUCCAAGGGACGCCCCGGCCCCCGGCCACCGCGAGGACCUCCUGCCCUCUGUGGCCCGGACCCCCUCUGUCACCCAGGUCACGCCUGCCAAGAAGAUAACCUUCCUCAAGCGAGGGGAUCCCCGGUUUGCUGGGGUCCGCCUGGCUGUUCACCAGCGUGCCUUCAGGAGCUUUGGGGCCCUGAUGGACGAGCUCUCUCAGCGGGUACCACUCUCUUUUGGGGUGCGCUCGGUCACCACACCCCGGGGUCUGCAUGGCCUCAACACCCUGGAGCAGCUGCAGGAUGGUGGCUGCUAUCUCUGCUCUGAUAAGAAGCCCCCCAGGACCCCCGGCGGGCUGGGCCAGCCCCAGGGGAGAAGCCCUUCUGCUCAGCAGUUGAGGGAAUUUGAAGCACCGGGAACAGCCUCUACCUGCAAAGGUCUCAAAGCCUCGAGGAGGAUCACACUGGUUAAGAAUGGGGACCCUCGACUCCAGCAGACAGUGGUGCUCAGCCACAGAAACACCAGGAACCUGACGGCCUUUCUCAGCAAAGCGUCGGACCUACUGCGCUUUCCUGUGAAGCAUGUAUACACGACCAGUGGGAAAAGGGUGGACUCUCUGAAGGCUCUGCUGCGAAGCCCCUCCGUGCUGGUGUGCGCCGGUCUAGAGCCCUUCAGACCGCUGGUGAUGGAAGAUGUCAGAAAAAAAGGAAGUGAACUUUCAUCUGGGCAGACUUCAAGGAACAAAAGUGGGAGCUGGGGGCCCAAGGCCAAACAGAGCGUGAUCCAUACACGGUCCAGGCUGGAGAACAGGCCGCGGCAGUUCUCCUUGAUGUCGGAGAGGUCGGGGCACAGCGACCCCUCGGUGUGCCCGCAUCGUGCCUGCAUGUGCCCUGCCCCCAACAGGCACCCUCUGAACACUCCUGCCCGGCUCGGCCCCUUGGUGGCAGGUGAAGACAUCGAGAAGAAUGUGAGCAUGAAUGAGGAUGGCAGCCUGUCUGUAGAGAUGAAAGUCCGCUUCCACCUGCUGGGGGAGGAGCCGCUUCUGUGGUCCAGGAGGCUCGGGAGGGCCAGCACCCUCACCGCGACCAGCAGGGAGGGCCCCGACGAUGGGGAGGCGGAUCUCCAUGGCUGUGUGUGGAAGGGCCUCUCUAGGGAUCCAUCAGAGCCUGGGGCACAGGGACUGGGGCCCUGCGAGGCGGGAGGAGUGGGAGCCUUUGACCAAGGCCAGCAGCAGCAGGGGUCUAGAUAUGAGAUCUGGAUGAACCCCCUGUACACCUCCCAGGGAGAGUGGUCGGCCUCUCAGUGGAGGUCUGGGCUGACCCAGAACUCCCACUGCAGGGCCCCCCGGAGCCAAAGGGUCACCAGCAGGAAAAGAGGGAGCAAGGACAGGGCCAGCCCUGCCUCCAGCGGCACACCCCCUGGAGGCUCUGAGCCAAGCUCCUCCUGCUGCUCUGGGUCCCUGGAGGAUGCUGUGGCCAGCUGCGGCCCACAUCUGGCCUCGGGGGCUGGGGAAGGCAGAGGCAAUGGGGCAGCGCUGGGCUGCAGGGACCCUGAUGGCUGCCUGAAACCCAGGACCCGCGGCCUGACAGAUGCUCUUCCUGACUCCUCCGCGAGCGCCAGGUCUCAUGAGGAGUGUGGCGAAAGGGACAAGCUGUCCCAGGGCCGCCCCAGCAAGACUCCCCGGAGAGCCACCCAGCAGGGAGUUCCGGGUUCCCUCACUGUGAGCCCCUCGUCUAUAGGGAACAAGGACCCACAGGCAGAGGAGUUUGGACAGGGAGCAGGGCACCCCCAGGCCAGAAAUAGGUCUGGGGUGAGGCCAGCCUCGACUCGGGGCCCGGCUGCUUCUGGGGAUGAUGCGGGAGGCUACACCCCUCCUUCUGCAUGUGCCUCAGCCAUGAGCAGGAGCAGAAAGCAGGAGAGCAGAGCCAGCACCCUGACCUCAGCCAGCAUUUCUGUCCGCAGUCGAGGUGCCCAGAGGGCCCGCCCCAGGGAGCACCACAGCCCUAAGGACAUCAACUGCCCGCUCGACUCGCCUGUGUCCCAGCCAAUGCCGGGGCCAUCCAGCGGAGACAGGGCCCAUCCACACGGCCCCCAACCCAGCCUUUCUGAAAGCCCACAGGGCACCUGGAACCGGGCCUCCUGGGACCCAGGGCCACCCUUCUCGGCCUCUCUUUAUUCCCAGGACACACGCGGGCUAAGCAGCAUCCCCAUUACCCCUGGGAGCAAUUCUGACUGUGUUUCCAAUUUCCACCUCCCCGAUUCUCCCUCUGCUGAGACCGAAGGGGGCCCUGAGUUCAGGCCGUGCUCACCGGCUCCCACACCUUCAAACACAUCUGGCCCUUUCAGUGCCCCAGCUGAUGGCCUGGGUGAAAAGACUGGGGGUGACAAAUCCCAGCCUUCCUGGCCCUUGGUCCUGCCAGCUGGGUGGCCUGAGGGAGGGAGGCUGGGAGCACACUGGGGCAGCUGCUGUUCACACCUGGGCACAUCCCUGGCUCACGGGUCCUCCUGUGGGACAAUACAGAUGAUGCCAGCCCCACAGCCGCAGGGCAGCCAGGGGCCCUCCUCCAAGGCCUGCUGGGUGUGCAGCAGGUACUGUCCCACACCCCCCAGGACACGGCCCUCGGGCAAGAGGCAUCCUUCAGGCAGCCGCAGGGAGGGUGACCGCAGCGCUGAUGGGGAGCCUAGUGGGGAGCAGGUAGGAGAUGAAAAGCUGGAUGCGUGGCCUCCGCGGCCCCCUGGCUCUCAGGGAGCAGCCUCAGGGAGAGCAGUCAGAGCUGUGAGAAGGGGCUAUCCUCGCAGUGGUCCCCAGCUCGGGAGGCUGGUCCAGGGGAAGCUCUCAGGCAGAGGAGGAGGCCUGGAGGAGCCAGAGGAAGGUGGCGGUGAGCUGCUGGGAGCUCUGCCCCGAGCCUCCCCAGAAGCCGUGGUCCGUGCGUGGCUGAGCAACAUCCCGGAGGAGCCCAUGAAACACGAGCUGGAGGACAAGGGCGAGGACAUGGCCGGGCAUGGCCUGGAAGGCCUCCAAGAGGACCCUGUGGACAAACACUCCCCAGAUGGCCUGGAAAGAUCAGUCUGGGCCAGACAAGUGCCCCUGGAACAGGCGGCCAGUGAGGAAGCAGAACCAGAUAAAGCCUUUGCAGUGGCUAGCAGUGCCGGUCCCAAGUCAGGAGAGGGUCUGCCUUGCCAUGGAGUGUCAGAAACCCCUACAGAGGCUGGAACAGGCAAAGGAGUGGCUGUGGACGGUGGGAGGGGCCAGUGCGUGCUUCCCAGCAGGGUCUCCACCUCCUUACAGAUCAUGAAGGCACUGAUGGGGUCCCGGCCAGGCCGGCCCAGCAGUCUGCCUGAAGUGUCCCACUCAGCGGGCAGGAGACUCAGCUGCUCAGCCCAGGCCCUCAUCACCUGUCUCGCCAGGCUCCACUUCUUUGAUGAUGAUGACCUUGGGUCUCCCGCCAGCAAAGUGAGGUUCACAGACUCCCCUCGGUACCAGGAGCUCCUAAGUACCUUCCAGGCCCUGUGGCCAGGGAGUGGCCUCAGGAACGGUGAGCUGGAAUCAGACCUCCGGGAGCUCGGCUGGCGCCAGGCCCUGCCGGCCCUCGGGCCCCACGUUGCAACCGAGGACUUCAGGCCCACAUCCUCCUCUGGGGUGGAUGUCGGCAGUGGUUCUGGAGGCUCGGGGGAGGGCAGUGGACCCUGCACCGUGGACUGCAGCCUGGUGUCCGAGAAGAUGGAGCUGCCCUUAAGCAUCUCCUGCCAGGGGCCUGAUUCCAGAACCUCGGGGAACCAAGAAGUUCCAGGAAACCAACAGCUGAGUAGUUAUGAGGCUGAGGGUGCUGCCAGUGAGGACGGGGCAGAAAAAAACGGCAGGGAGCAGACGCUGGGGGGUGACCCGGACCAAGGAGAUAAAAACACAAUGCAGGAUGACGGGGUACAAUCGGAGGAAAUAAAAGAAGAAAAAGAAAGAGCGGAACUGCAAGCAGAGGGUGUCAGAGGGUUUCCGGAAGAGGAAGGAAUCAUGGAACUAGAAUUGUCAGGGCCAGUCUCUCAAGAUGGGGCUGGUGUCUGGGAAAAUAAGAGCCUGCAUGAAGAGGAGCCAGGAGACCCCACUGCUGUUGACACGCAGAGUUCUUCAGGGAGGAGAGGGAGCCCGCCAGAGCCCCCCAGGAGCCUCAGCGAGAGGUGCCUGGAUGCCAGUGGGAGUCAAAGUGGCCCCAAAGCUGAGCCCCCUUUGGAGAAGUUGCUUGGAGCAGCUGAGACUGGCUGUGGGCAAACCCUGGACAAGCUCACCCAGGGGGCUGGUGAGAGGGCCACUUGCAAGGGCCGCAGGGGGUCUCUGAUCUCGGACCCUGUGUGGGUGUCCAAAUUGUUGAAGAAGAUGGAGAAGGCCUUCAUGGACCACCUCGCCGCUGCCACAGCCGAGCUCUGCACCCGCUGGGGCCUGCAGGGUGACCACCUGCUGGACCAGAUGGUGGCCGAGCUGCAGCAGGAUGUGGGCCAGCGGCUCCAGGACAGUGUGGAGAAGGAGCUUCUCAAGGUCCAGAGCUGGGCAGGGGGCAUGGGCACGGGGCCGCCCAGGGAAGCCCUCCGCUGGGAGGCAUCCCUGCAGACGGAGGAGCGCAGGCGGCGCCUCCAGGCCCUGCGCAACCUCUCGCCCUUCUCCGAGCAGACGCGAGGCCGGGAGGCGCCCUCCUUCUCCCUGGAGGACCUGCCGAUCUUCAGGGGAGCCCUGGGGACCCAACUUGCCGUAGAGGCCAAGGGGGAGGAGUUUUGUCCCUGUGAGGCCUGCGUGAGGAAGAAAAUUUCUCCCGCAUCCCCAGUGGAAGCUGCGGGGUCAGCCAGCGCGCCCAUCAGGAAGGCCUUCGACCUGCAGCACAUUCUGCAGAAGAAGCAGGGAGGCUGUGCUGACGGAGAGGCAGCGGAGGUGGGCCCCGCUGUGCAGAGGGAGGUGGAGCCCCUUCACAGGGACCCCUCGGGGACAGGCACUGCCCGCGGAACUGAUGGAGACCCUGAGCCGGGAUCAGGCCAGGGCCCCGGAGCAGAGGAGGGGGACCAGACCCUCGGCGGGGAUGAAGAGCCCUGGGGGACAGAGGAGGAGGCGGGUGCUCAGGAGAAAGAGGGGGAAACAGAGCCCUGUGCAGGCAGCGACCCCUGGGAGGGGCUGGGGAGGGGGGAGCAGGGCAUGGGUGGUGAGGGAGGAGGCCUGGACGCGGGCUGUGGGGCUGAGGACACGGGGGAGCCUCAUGGCCUGAGGGGAGGCGGCCUGGGUCCAGGCGGACGAGAUGCUGGUGCUGAAACAAAAGAGGCCCAGGGGGCUGCAAGGGAGGAGCAGUCAGAGACAGGAGGAGGACAUGGAGGUGACGAAGAAGGGGGCCCUCAGGUUGGCCUGGGGCGUGGCCAGUCCCGUGAGGCUUCUGGAGGCGGGAGCCCAACCCCAAGGGCAGACCCCCCCCAACAGAGGUCAGGCCCCAGGUCAGGCCUCUCUUCCUUCAGUACGUCCUCUCUGGGGAACUGCUCUCUGCUCUCUCAGAAAGGCUCCGAAGAUGAACCAUGGGACGGAUACACAAGGAGCACUGAAGACCAGGCCACGGACAUCCCUGAUCCAGAGAGAAAAGUCACAGGCAGGUACCCAGGAAGCUCCGCUUCUGAGCAAGAAGGGGUCCCAUCAGGCGCCAGAGCUCCAGAGCAAGGGACAGAGGAAGGCCUGAGUCCAGAGCAGAGCAAAGAGGAAGGUCUGGCUCCAGAGCAGGAGAUAGAGGAGGGCCCGGCUCCAGAGCAGGAAAGAGGGGAGGGCCCGGCUCCAGAGCAGGAGGGAGAGGAGGGCCCGGCUCCAGAGCAGGAGGGAGAGGAGGGCCUGGCUCCAGAGCAGGAGACAGAGGAGGGCCUGGCUCCAGAGCAGGAGGGAGAGGAGGGCCCGGCUCCAGAGCAGGAGGGAGAGGAGGGCCUGGCUCCAGAGCAGGAGGGAGAGGAGGGCCCAGCUCCAGAGCAGGAGGGAGGGGAGGGCCCGGCUCCAGAGCAGGAGACAGAGGAGGGCCCAGCUCCAGAGCAGGAAAGAGGGGAGGGCCCGGCUCCAGAGCAGGAGACAGAGGAGGGUCCGGCUCCAGAGCAGGAGAUAGAGGAGGGCCCGGCUCCAGAGCAGGAGACAGAGGAGGGCCCGGCUCCAGAGCAGGAGACAGAGGAAGAUCUGGCCCCAGAGCAGGAGACAGAGGAGGGCCCGGCUCCAGAGCAGGAGACAGAGGAGGGCCCGGCUCCAGAGCAGGAGACAGAGGAAGAUCUGGCCCCAGAGCAGGAGACAGAGGAGGGCCCGGCUCCAGAGCAGGAGACAGAGGAGGGCCCGGCUCCAGAGCAGGAGACAGAGGAGGGCCCGGCUCCAGAGCAGGAGACAGAGGAAGAUCUGGCCCCAGAGCAGGAGACAGAGGAGGGCCCGGCUCCAGAGCAGGAGACAGAGGAGGGCCCGGCUCCAGAGCAGGAGGGAGAGGAGGGCCCGGCUCCAGAGCAGGAGACAGAGGAGGGCCCUGCUCCAGAUCAGGAGACAGAGGAAGAUCUGGCCCCAGAGCAGGAGACAGAGGAGAGCUCUGACUUAGAAGCUAAAAAGGUAGGGAAAUGUCUCGCUUCCAUAGAAACGAGGUUUAGAAACCUCCGCAUGGACCGGACAGACGGCUUUGACCAAGAUGACUUAGAUUUCUAG
rnacentral:lncRNA from 1 species